GUUGUAGAAACAGUUUCUCAUCUGGAUCACUGUAAGAUACAGAGGAUUUACUGGCUGGUACUGGAAUGGUUCAAGUUUUCUAAGGUGGAAGCUUAUGUUAUUGACUUCAGACUAUUCUGAUUUUCUGAUACAUGCAUUUCAUGCUACAGAUUCCCCUGUAAACAUGCUUUCACUACAUCCCACAAAUUUGGUCUGAGAGCUUCUCUUUAAUUCCAAAGAAGAUAAAGAAAAGGUUUUUUUGUUUAACAGAUCAGAGCCUUAAAGCAGAAGGAG